GAAACUCCAAAGGACAAGAAAGCAAGUUUAGUGAUCCAUGAACGUGUAGAUAAGGUUAUUGCAGGCGUCAUGGACAAACUUAACCUGCAGAUUCCACCAUUUACCAGGAUCGAUCUUCUCCAGGUCAUUCAAACUCAAGCCUUGAGUAUAGAUAAAAAAUAUGUGAACUGGACCCUCCAAGUAGCAAGUACUGUACAUGGACACAGAGCUCCAUUGCCAUUCAUCAAAUCUGUUGAGGUUAUUCUAUGUUUAGAAAUUCAUGAUGCUGCUCAUUUCCCUUUGUUACCACUAUCCAAAGUCUUUCUACGUAUUAUAUAUUUGAAGUCCCAAAGCCAGGUCUGAUGCCCUCUAAGAACCCAUAUUGAACAAUGAAAGUUUAUUUGAAUACAUCCACGCAACAAUGUUGGUCAUCGUUAUUAAGAAAGUUUUUUUAGUCUUUCUCUCACUCUGAUAUUUCACCUCUAUGCCUCUCUGUAGUAAUCCCAUGGAUCAUUAAACUAAUGAUGACCCUUGCUCGAAAUUAUUAACUAAUAUAUCAAGAAUGAGCCACUUUUGUAGGUAUCCCAUCCCUAGGGUAACUUUAGGGUGACAUUGGGAUCCCUAUGUCACAUGAGACAUUUUAAGUUCCAAGUAGCCUUUUAUUCCAAUUGGGCUAACCGUUCUGUUGCGUUGCACCGAGGUUUCUUUCUUGGACAAGCAAGAUUAUAAAGCCGCCAUUCUACAUAUGCAACCUUUUCGGCUAAAAAGGUUGCUUCCAUGCUAUCACAUAUUGAGAUUGUAGUUGUUAUUGCGCUGAAUUUUGCUGAAAGGAGAAGGGGAAAAAAAGAAGAGGAGGUGCAUCAGUGCUAUUAUAUCUAUAUUCAGGAAUUUUUCAAUGUCAUAGUGUGCUUCUUAGCAAAACUUAAAUUUUCUUUAAAAAGAAUAUUGUGCUCCACUCAAUAAUUUCUUCCAGGGAUCCGAAAAAUUAAUUCAGAUACGUGAUCUUAUUAUUUUUUGUGUUUCAUUUGGUUUUGCUUCAAAUGAGAAAAUUUGGCAUCGGGGGGAACUUAUCAGGAUGCGUAAGUGAUGUAGGGUCCUCCUCAGAGAUUUGGAUUGUAGUCAACUUGCUUGGCCCUUUAUGAGAAAAUUUCGAAUGCUUUGAAUUGUUGACUUUUCCUGAGGAGAUAGGAGAAUUGAAUAUCCCAUUGUUUAACAGUAGUGCUUGCUUAUAGCUUAAUUAGACAUUAUCUGCUGCAUCCUUUUCAGCUUCAGUGGCUGUUAUUGAUACUUGUCAGGAGAACCAUGCGGGCAAGAUCAUUUGAAUUGGUUUAAAGACUCAACAUCAGUGAUGGUUGCAGUGGUUGCUAGUCUGCUGAAAUGAAUGUACCUGUUGAUUUUAAGGUGAGAGGUAGACUGGUCCUAUUUAUUUCUUCAAAGCUUGCAUGGCCUUUUUGGUUGAUAAUUUGGUUAUUUUCAUAUUCAUUUUUUGGUUCUUGAAUUUAUGAGCUCACCCUCCACCCCAUUCUUAUUUACAUUUGUUGAGAUGUAAAUAAUAAUUUGUUGCUAUGGUGUUUUGUUGUAUACUUGUGUCUUCCAAGUUGAUACUGCUCUGGUUUUAUUUAGAUUUUUUUCAAAAUCUUUUAAGCAUGAUUUGAUUAUUGCAUAGUUUAUCAAUGUUUUAAAGGGAUCUCUGCUAGCUCUUAUUUGAUGGAUGUUUCUUAUCUGUAGCUUGUGGUCAUGGUCGCAGAAUGCUUAUGGUCGUGGAGCUGUUAGAUUUUUCUAGAUUUUCUUGUACAUGUGGUUCAUUUUUCAUUUCAGGAUGAGAAAGAAUUCGUUAAAUAAACUCAUGAAAGGACUGCUCAAGUCAAAGAAGAUCUUUGCUAGCAUGUGGUCUAGCAAAGGCAGAAAUGGUGACAAUAGUGGCUCGAAUUUAUCAGAUAGUCUUGGUUCUGCAAACCUAGAGGAAGUAAAAUCAACA